CUACAGGCUGUGCUUUCAGGAAAAGCUCAAGUGUCUGCUCUGGACCGAAUCAGCCCAGGGAGGAGGAGCAGAUGCCCAGCUCCUGCCUGCCUGGUUUGAGCAAGCAGCCCGGGGUAAAGCCGGCUCGUAGACCACGGCUUCCCAGACAGAGACCUGAUGCAGAAGCCCUGAUUCCACAGAGAUAUCCUUCCCCAUCAUGCUCCAAAAUAGUGCUCCAGGACUCCUGUCUCCUCCCACCCUGCCACCUUCACAUGUUCCCUGUGGAUCGGCCAUGCAGGGAAGAGGUGUGAAAGCAGCCAUGGCAGUG
rnacentral:lncRNA from 1 species